rnacentral:rRNA from 1 species
UACGGAGGGUGCAAGCGUUAUCCGGAUUUACUGGGUUUAAAGGGUGCGUAGGUGGGUUUGUAAGUCAGUGGUGAAAUCUCCGAGCUUAACUCGGAAACUGCCAUUGAUACUAUAGAUCUUGAAUUAUCUGGAGGUGAGCGGAAUAUGUCAUGUAGCGGUGAAAUGCUUAGAUAUGACAUAGAACACCGAUUGCGAAGGCAGCAGGCUACACAAAUAUUGACGCUGAGGCACGAAAGCGUGGGGAUCAAACAGG